rnacentral:rRNA from 1 species
GAUGAACGCUGGCGGCGUGCCUAAUACAUGCAAGUCGAGCGAACGGACGAGAAGCUUGCUUCUCUGAUGUUAGCGGCGGACGGGUGAGUAACACGUGGAUAACCUACCUAUAAGACUGGGAUAACUUCGGGAAACCGGAGCUAAUACCGGAUAAUAUUUUGAACCGCAUGGUUCAAAGGUGAAAGACGGUCUUGCUGUCAGUUAUAGAGGGAUCUGCGCUGCAUUAGCUAGUUGGUAAGGUAACGGCUUACCAAGGGAACGAUGCAUAGCCGACCGGAGAGGGUGAUCGGCCACACUGGAACUGAGACACGGUCCAGACUCCUACGGGAGGCAGCAGUAGGGAAUCUUCCGCAAUGGGCGAAAGCCUGACGGAGCAACGCCGCGUGAGUGAUGAAGGUCUUCGGAUCGUAAAACUCUGUUAUUAGGGAAGAACAUAUGUGUAAGUAACUGUGCACAUCUUGACGGUACCUAAUCAGAAAGCCACGGCUAACUACGUG